UGCUGACCACAGAGCAGCUCGAUGAAAAGCAGCAGACGAGCUGGUUAUUGAUUUCUGAAGGUGGCAACUGUGAUGUGAUGGAAGUCCAUCAGAGGACGCUGUCAACUAUUCAUAAGCUCUGGCAGAGGAAAUCGAGGUCGCCUGUCUGGGAGACUCUAUCGACAGCGGUUUCUCUCAGAGCUUCAGCUCUCCAGAUCCAUAUAAAGAACAACAUUUAUGACGACUGGAGGGAGACAAGGGGUUUCCCAUGACUCUGUCAAGAUGCCAUGUUGCGACGCUAGCAAGACGCUCAAAGGAGGUUUCAGCGCUCUAAUGAACCAUCUGGACCGUUUCUCUCUCGUUUAUGGAGUUGUGAACAAUUAUGGCUACAAGAUGGGAUCCAUAAAAACAACUAUAGAGCUUUAUUACGACGCGUUAAAGUCUUUUCCCAAGGCUAAGUGUGUGUGUGUGUGUGUGUGUGUGUUAAGCCUUUUGGGUUUAUUUUAGACACUCUCAUUUGAGACAAAGAAAUUGCCUCAUACUCUCAUAAACUAGAAUGCAACAUAAACUCUUUCGUCUUUCUCAUCUUCUGCUUCAUCUUUUCCUCAAAUAUAAAUAUUCUAUGUACAAAUUUUUUGGGGAUCUCCAUAUAAACUUCUUCCAAAGAUUCAGCCUGACAGAGAUGUGACCAAACCUCCGGGGAGUGGCAUUCAUUUUGGGGCCCCCCAGAAUUCCCACAGGGGACCCUGAGAGUCCCUUGAGUACAAUUUGAGACAAUUUUGCUUCAGUUUUUAUG